CUCUUUCUCCUGUUUGGCCGUGUACCAAGUUCCUGCCUGUCUUCUGUCUUCACCCGUGACUUGCCUCAAGUAGUUGGCUCCUUUCCCACCGGCUACUUUGUAACUGCGAAUAUGACAACAUGACGGUGAUUCACAGAUGCCAAAAUAUGACGAGCAGAGCAAAUCUGUGUUCCAGAUAUGAUAAGGUGAGAAAAGCGGAACUCUCGGCCCCAGGUGAUUUCCAUGAAGACACCUACAUACGGCGGGCCUCACUAU
rnacentral:lncRNA from 1 species